GCGAGGCCGAGGAGGAGGCUCCGGGGCUGUGGCGAACCCCGCCCUCCCCCGGAGUGACGUGCGGCCCCGACACGCCCCCAGCUGGAGGCUCCUCCCGACCAGCCUGUCCCCCUCCCCCCUUAUCCCUGACGUGGCCUGGAGAGGACCCCGCGGAGUUAAGAAACCCAGCCCUUCUUGAUCUUAUUUGCGAGGCGGGAGAGACCCUCAUGUGGGUGCAACACACCAAGCGUCUCUUUGGCAUCUCCUCAUUUGUUCUGGGGGCUGCAAAAUAAUACUAUUAACAAUGACAGUAAUCCUAUAGCUAGCAUGUAUAUAGCACCUAUCUCACGGGGCUGUUUUGGGAAAAAUCAAUUGGCCAAUAAACACUUAUUAAGCCCCUACUGUGUGCCAGGUACCGUGCUAAGCCCGGAGGAUGCCAAAAAAGGCAAAAGUCAGUUCCUGCCCUCGAGGAAUUUACAAUCUAAUGCAGGAGAAAAAAUGCAAACAAAUUAUUUACAAAGCAAGCUAAAUACAAGACUAAUGAGAGAUAAUUAACUGAGGAAAGGCACUAGAAUUAAGAAAGGUGUGGAGAAGGCUUCUUGUAAAAGAUGAAGGAAGGGAGACACCCUUUGGAAUCAGUCAAUGAACAUUCACUAUAGACCUACUGUGUGCCAGCACUGGAAACAAAGAGGAUGACAGAUGUAGAAAUAUAUAUAGAAGACGUGCAUUG